rnacentral:lncRNA from 1 species
UUCAUUCGGCGGGACAAGGGCGUCAUUCUGGAGAGCUCAUUUAGCAAGUUCGUAUGACAGACUUCGUACGACAGACUUCAUAUGACAGACUUCGUACGACAGACUUCAGACUUCGUAUGAUAAGGUUUGUUCGGUGGAGUUCGUACGUCACGGCGAAGGAGUCUUGGUACGGCCAGGACGACGAAAGUGUUUUUGUACGCUCAAAGCUGACAAGCUCAAAUGGCACGCGACGGUUGAAUCGCUUACGAUUACUGAUCUUUGCAACGAUGAUCUUGAGCCUUUUCCGGAGUUUGCGGAUGGCGUGCCUACGGAGGUAACCGAGGCUGGAGUGGGGGAAGAUGGUACCUAGGUCGCUGAUGCCUUGGUGAUCUCCUUGAGUACGAGAAUUUGAUGUUUGUUUUUUCUUCUUUCAGUAUUCGUAGAUUUUAUCCGGCUUUUUAGCUUGUUGUAGCUUGUCGGAUCGGCAUUAUGUACUGUUGACCCUUUAAAUGUACUGUGGUCGUAUCGUUGUUGUAGCAGCUUCCUUUUAUUGAUGAGAAGGUGCAAUUGGUUCUUGUUUUUGCUUGUUCUUGAUGUUGUACUAAUUGUAAUUACGGACAAGGUGCGAUCUGCAGCUCGGCUUAUCCCGUCUAGUCGUUUGACUUUUACGUGCUAAGAGAAGCUGUUUAUGCCUUUAUCAUUUUUGUGCAAGGUAAUCCUCGGCUGAUUUUGUGUGAGGUAUCCUUGGCGUUUUAAGCUUAGUUUCGAAACGUAUUAUGGGGCAAGACGUCUUUUGACUUAUCCUGUAUACGUUUGAGCCGAAACGAUGAACUUAGUAGAAAGUAGACAAAGCGGACUCGUCGUACUAUAUAGGUGCGGUUCUGGUGUCCGGCUUAUCCUGUGGGUGCUAUGAGGUCGGCAAGAACGUGCAAGCCGGAGCUUGGCUUAUUAUGAUUCGACCGCCUGCUAGCUAAUGCGAGACUGGCUCGGCUUUUAGUCCUUACCGAAGUAAGGAUGUGGAUUAUUUCGCCACUGCAUCCAUGUGGAACGCGUUUAAAUCGAACUCCUGGCCAGGGAGACGAUGUGGGAGCUGGUCGAUCGUCGAGACGGACUCGUUCGAAAGAGCUCGUUUGUAUUAAGUACGUUGGCGUUGAUUUAUACUUGUGAUUUGACGAUGUGAGAGCAGAUCAAUCGUCGAGACGGACUCGUUCGAAAAAACUCGCGUAAAGUAUGUCGGCGUUGAUUUAUACUUGUGAUUUGACGAUGUGGGAGCAGGUCAAUCGUCGAGACGGACUCGUUCGAAAAAGCUCAUGUUAAGUAUGUCGGCGUUGAUUUAUACUUGUGUUUUGACGAUGUGGGAGCGGAUCAAUCGUCGAGACGGUCUCGUUCGAAAUAGCUUGCGUUAAGUAUGUCGACAUUGAUUUAUACUUGUGACGAUUUUUUU